CUGCGGCCGCUCAGGCUCGGCCCGUCGGGCGAGCAGCCGGCGCCCCCCUCCUCGUACAGGCCGAGGGGGUCGCUGGGGUCGGCGCCCGCGCCCACGCCGCCGACGGGCGAGGACGACGCGCCCAGGCCGCCGAACAGGUCUAAGAAGGCCCCUCCCCCCAGCUUUCAGUUUGGUGUGGAGCAAAAACAACCAAUAGAACUCACUGAAUGAUCAAGCUCUUCCAGAUGAGAAAACCCCCACCACGUGGAAGACAUUAACUGCUUGAUGACCAUGAGCACGUAGCCCUCACGCCUACUGGGACCUAAGGAUUGAGCACAUUAACCCCUGUGACGCCUGUUACCUCACCAUCAACCAAUCAGAGAAUUGUGCACGAGCUGAUCACGUACCCUGGGACGCCCCUCCCUCACCUGGCCUUUAAAGAUACUUUGCUGAAACCCACGGAGGAGUUGCGUGUUUUGAGCACUAGCUGUCUUGGACGCCUUGCUUGGUGCCCUGCAGUAAACGCUGCACAUUCUUUCAUCACAACCAGGCGUCAGUAACUUGGCUUUACUGCGCGUGGGUGAGAGGACCCAAGUUUGGUUGGGUAACAAGGUGGGCUGGAGCGUCCACACACGUGGGAGACGCCUCUCCUAACGCAAGAAAGCACCGGGAGUGAGCAGAGGGGUUGGUCAGGCCAGAAGCUGCUGCCUGUACCGCCGCCUCAUUCUGGCCUAGAAACCCAGAGCAGGGAAGAACCCCACGUUCCAGUUCUGGUCUUGGGAAGGAGGAUUUGUCAAGGAACAGGAAUGCAUGGAUAUAGAGCACGAAGGCAAAAAGAGGCUCUGAAUGUUGUUCAUCUUCAGAAAUUCAUCGUUACAUCCAGCCCCACAGUCUGCUAUUUGGAGCGUUGGUUUUUGGCGUCUACAUUUAAUCUAUUCAUCACCAUCUCAGAAGCCAGAAGGAGAAGAUUCUCACAGCCAAAGACUCUUAUCUGCAGACCUGCCAAAGGAAGUGAUUGCCAAAGGGUCUUUUAAAUGAAGAAUGGAGACAAUCUGUUGCCUUUUUUCAUUCCGAACCACCACGUCUCUUUCGCUAGACUGUGAAGCUCUCCAGGCUAAGGACUCUUUUUCCUUCAUCAUGAUAUUUCCAGCUCAUACAGAAGUUUAUUGCACUUACUUGAUCAUUAAAAUGUUUAGCGAAGAAAAGAAGAAAGCUGCAGCUGUAUUAGUUCAUUGUUGUUGUUGUUGUUGUUUUUAAGUUUAUUCAUUAAAGAUCUGUGGGCUGGGCUUCCCUGGUGGCGCAGUGGUUAAGAAUCCACCUGCCAAUGCAGGGGACACGGGUUCGAUCCCUGGUCUGGGAAGAUCCCACAUACCACAGAGCAACUAAGCCUGUGUGCCACAACUACUGAGCCUGCGCUCUAGAGCCUGGGAGCCACAACUACUGAGCCCACGUGACACAACUACUGAAGCCUGUGCACCUAGAGCCCAUGCUCCACAAAAAGAGAAGCCACUGCAAUGAGAAGCCCGUGCACCAUAACGAAGAGUAGCCCCCGCUCGCCACAACUGGAGAAAGCCUGAGCGCAGCAACAAAGACCCAAUGCAGCCAAAAAUAAAUAAAAUAAAAAUAAAUAAAUUAAAAAAAAAAAGUCUGUGGGCUAACUCCUAGGAGAAUGGUUGAUACAAAACCGAAUAAAACAAACCCUGGUCCUGGUCUAACCUAGUUAGUACAUCCAACUUUCACAUAUUGUUUAAUUUAUAAGGGAAGA